GCGGGAAUUAUCAUCUACUAUUAGUCUUUGGUUAGCCAUCUAACACUUAUGUGACUGGAAUGCCUGCACACUCUGAUACUGGUUCCAGACUAACAUUUUCAGGAUUUUCUCCUGUUCUCGCACUGCAAAGGUGGCUAAUUCAUAACACAAGAUUCUUUUAUUUUCUUCUUGCAUGUUUUUGUUACGAAACACAAAUUGGACACAUGAGUAAGUAUGACAUAUUGAUUGCUUUUACUGUUAAACAGGGGGGCUCAUUUAUACAUGUGUUUUACAACCAGAAUAUUGACCCUUGUAGAAAAGUCAGAGCAAUAAAUUUAAUUAGUAGUCUUUAAGAAAUCAUACCAUGUCUUUCAAUAUUAACCUUAAUGAACCCUCCAAGAGAGGUUUAGAGUUUUCCCCUUCCAAGCCUUCUCUACAGGCAAACAUCAAAAUGCUUACCAAUAAUGAGUAUGCAUUUUCCCCUCAGGGUGUUUUUUAUUUUUUUUUGAUGGGGUUAAGCUGAGAUACGACCUUGUCACAUGUGCCGCUGAUGGAGUCUUGGAUCACUUCGUCCCACUAGCGGUCAUGUAGGGGGCAUGGGGAUCCACCUCCCCAUGCUCCAUUCCAUCGCAGCUUCCCCCUUUUCACAUGACAUGAAGGGAAGCCCUUUUUUUGGAGACUUGACCCAACUUUCCUUCUGGAAAGAUGAGGAGUGUGCUGUUGUAUGCUGUCACAAUUCUUUGGCAGCGGCAGCACAGAGCCACCCCAGAAGUAGUUGGCUGGAGUACAAUGGGAGACAUUGGACUCUGUGGCUGAAGUCCAGAAAUGCCAUCAAACCCCAUAAAAUAAGGUACGUGUGAAGAGGUCCACAGACUGAAAAAUGAAAAGAUCAAAUGACUUUCAGCUUUGCUUCAAAAAAUGACACAACCCUAAAUUUUAUAAGAUUUUGAUAUAAGAUGAAGAUUUUUAUAUAAAGCUUUCAUGUAAGCAUUAUACAUGUACUAUAAUAAUAAUAAAAACUUUAUUUAUAACUUGCCCUCUUGUGAUCGAAGGUGACUGAUGAUUUAAGGAAUUCAUAGUUUUGACAAGGACAUCAGGCUGGGUGUUUUGGUCAAUUUGCAAAGACCACAAUAACAAUAACAAGGACCCUUCCCAUGUUAGAUAGUGUGUACAUUUUAAUCAAGGCUUAUGUCCUACAUUUCAUACAUUUAUAGCAGAAGGUACAAAAUGUAUUACUGGAAACCAUAUCACAAAAUGUAUUUGACCUCUUUCACUGUUGCAUGUAUUACUAUGUAUCUCUCCUUUCUGAUUCUGGGGUUCGGGAUUCCCUCUUUCCUCCCUUUGAGCCCCAAAAGGCUCUCUCUCUCUCUCUCUCUCUCUCUCUCUCUCUCUCUCUCUCUCUCUCUCUCUCUCUUCCCCACCCCCCCCCCCAGCACCCAUUCCAGGCUGCACUAACCCUUGGGAAACUAUAACUUACCCUCCACACUGCUUUUUCUUUCAACCAGUUCCAUGGGCUCCAAAUCAUUUUUUGGGCUUUUUAUAAACUUUUAUGAACUUUUUAUAAACUUUUAUGAAGUAUCAGGGACCUUCCUUCCCCCUUCUUCCAUGCCUGUAACCCCCUCUCCUUGCGUCGUUCCAAGUUUCAGGGUACCCCAACCUGGCCCCUUUGCCUGCCUGGGCUGGAAGGGAAAUCCUGGGAUCCCCUUCUAAAGAAGCUCCCACCAUGGAAACACGUCCAGGGGUGGAAGCCUGGACAAACGGCAAUGGAAAUCAUGUGUUUGUCUCCCCAGACCCAUGGGAUGUUGGAUUUAUCUGGAAAUUCUCUCCAGAUCUGGGGCUCCCUCGCAUGUCGCUAUCAUAAUAUUAUAUUACUAUUGUUUCUUAUUGCCAAUAUUAUUUUCUUGUGCAAUGUCUUUCCCUCCAUGUAUGUAUAUAUCAAAUUGAAGCAAAGUGACCUUGCUGUGAACUGGCCAAACAUGCCUCGACCUGGGUCACUGGCUUGCCCCAGGCUCAUGCUAAUGGAACUGUCUCAGAACAAUGCCAUCUUCCUCUCCUUGGAUUCUGAAUAUCACUAUCUACAGUGCACAAUGGAUUUCCCCAGACCUCGGAGGACAUUAAUGUCAGGCCACCUGGGAGAAACCCCUUUGGACAUUUUGAAAACUAUUCAUCUUAAAAAGACUCAUCUUCCUGGAAGGGAGAGUCAAGGCUUGACAAAGCCACCCUUUUCCUCAGACCUUGAGUCACAGAUAUAAUUCCAUCACAGAUCCUGUUUCCACAAGAGAUACAAGCCAGCAGGGGUCAGACUCCCAUUCAUGGAACUGGCCAAAUCAAUCAAUGGAUCCACAAGCAUCGUUGAGUCACCUAUAAUCUUGUUUACUGUUUGUCUAUCCUGUUGCCGCACCUCCACCCCCCCCCAUUGGCCAGCGAGGGAGUGAGGUCACAGAUGGGGCUCAUGCCCUCAUUGGAGGAGCCCCCCAGUGGCUCCCCCUCCGCUCUAACAUCAGAGCCAAUCAGCACAGAGCUGGCCGGUGGGCGGGAGGUAGGAAAUUCAAACUAGAACUGUAUAAAAGUGCAUGCUUUGUUAUGUUAUGUAUUUCAGUCUAUUUUUUUGGCGAACUAUCGCAGGCUGGCAUCACUUUCAGCUGAAAUUAAAUAAAAUUCUUCAAUGGCUUCUGCUUCAACCUGGUGAGUUAUAUUCUGGAAAUUAUUGGUUUCUAUUCUCACCAGGCCUAAUUCACAGUUUGGAUCUCACUGUCCAAUACUGUUCUAAAUUGCUCUACAACACUCUCACCCCAAAGGGGUUCAGGAUAUAAGCUUCUUCACUAAGGGAUAAACUUAGUUGCUUGACUUGUCUUCAUCUGAAAAAUAUAGAAAUCAUAUGCAUUGGUUCAAGAAGAGCAUUUAAUAUUCCUCUGAGUGAAAUUUUAAAAAGUUUUAAGUAUGUUUCAGUUAGAUAAUUCAAGGCCAACGGAGAUGUGAUACCAACAGCUGCAUGUUCAGUUCAUAUCUCCUUCUGUGUAAUAUCUACUCAAAUGUACACAUAUCUGGCAUAUAAAAAUGUUCCACCUUUCCUGAUAGUACUGAUAAAGAUCAAUAAACAUUAGAAUCUGGGAAUCUACAUUCAUAGCAGACUUUGCAGUAGCAGAUUUUUAUUCCCUUUUCAUAUCAUUAUUCUACUUCAUAGUUUAGUGGAACAUGAAUGAGCAGGAAUAAGCUAGAACAAGGCUUUACACCAUUUCAAAGGGUAUUGGUUACUUUACUCAUUGCUUUAAACAGAUUAUCACUGUUCUUGUUACUGCAGUCCAGAAAAUUCACUUGUUGAAUAAGGACCUAUUCACAUUGUCCAAAGGGGCCGUGCCAUUUCAUCAGCUUUUGCUGGCAAAGAGAAGGCUCAUGGCGUGGCUCAUGGCACCCAGUGCACUGUCCCUCCUCCCCUCUUCACACAGAGGGCAAGAGUAGCACUUUUUCCCUCCCCUCCAUCAGAUGGCAGAAAGGGCAGCAACAUGCGCAUUGCCCCACCGCCCUUUCUGCCAUUCCAUGGGCUUUUUAGCCGCAAAAUACGGGUAGCUCCAUUGGAGCUACCCAAAACAUGCUUACCUUCCCCAUAGUUGGGAGGAAAUGCCUUUUGGCACUUUCCCCCAACUCUGGGAGAAAAGGUGGGCAGGAUCUGCCAUCCCUUGUCUGAUGACACCCAGCAGGCCCCAUCAAAAGACCUCCUUUGCUGCGUUUAAAGGCAGCAAAAUGGGGCUAAAUGCCCUGUGUGAAGAGGUCCUUAGUCAUUCCUAAGAAGCUACCUGACUGUGGAUUGAAAAUGACAGGAAAUAGCUCUUACAUUUCCUCAAGUGAUCAAUUCAGAUAUGGCACACUGGAAACAAUGAGAGAAAAGGCAUUACGAAGCAAGCAUUCCCUUGCGCUUUCCUCCAACACAUAUGGCUUGAAUUACAAAGUUGCCCCACAAUGCAAAAAAUAGGAUGAGAUUGGUAGUUUCAAACAUUUUUAAAAAUCAGGUUAGCCUGGGCUUCUAUGUGCACUACCUUACAGGAGAAUUAACCUCUACUUUGGCCUUCCCAGAGUUUCUUGUGUUGAAAUAGAAAUGACUUUAACUGGCAUUGUUACACUUGAUGUGUACAAUUUACUUGAUACUUUGAAAGUUCAAAAUAUUUUUGCUGAACUACAAAAGUUAAGUAAAAAAACAAACAAACUGGCACUGAUUGGUUGCGUAAGUCUUCAUCCCCUUAAGCUAGGGAUCUGCAAGGUCAUUUACCUGGCCCUCUCCCUAAACUUUACACUUCUGGCCACCCUAAGUCUGAAACGACUUGAAGGCACACAACAACCCUAAUUAACUUGACUAUCUCAUCAGCCAAAAGCAGGCCCACACUUCCCAUUGACAUACUGAUAAGUUUAUGUUGGUUAAAACUGUUCUUAAAUAUUGUAUUGUUCUUCCAUUUUUUUGCACUACAAAUAAGAUAAGUGCAGUGUGCAUCAGGAUUUGUUCAUGUCUUUUUGUCAAACUAUAGUCCGUCUAUCCAUCCCCCAACAGUAUGAGGGACCAUGAACUGGCCCUCUGCUUAAAAACUUUGAGAACCCUUGCCUUAAACUGUUGAAUGCCUCUAUAGCAGUGGUUCUCAACAUGUGGGUCCCCAGGUGUUUUGGCCUACAACGCCCAGAAAUCCCAGCCAGUUUACCAGUUGUUUGGAUUGCUGGGAGUUGAAGGCCGAAACAACUAGGGACCCACAGGUUGAGAACCACUGCUCUAUAAAAUCUGGUGCAACCCAAUGCCUCCAGAAAUCACAGAAGUUGUGUAGAAUACAAAAUGCAGAAGUGUAAUCUGAACAAUUAAACACAUCUGUUUUUAGAAGGUUUCAUGGUUUGUAGGACAAUGUAGCUAAAUAAAUAUGACCAUAAAGCCAAAGAGUUAUCACAACAGGUUCAGGACAAAGUUGUGCAAGGAGUGCCAAUCAGUAUGGUCAAAUGUUGCACUCCAACAGAGUCAUCUGACUUUCACCCUGAACACUGUAGACGUCAAAGGCUAGACAAACCUUACUGAAGAUUGUGUUAGACAUUUUCUUUACAGGAGAGAGAUUUAACAGUAUGCCCACUAGUUUUGUUUUCAAUUCUAAUUGAAAAUCUCUGCAUCUCCACUGUUUCUUGUUUACAAAGAUUCUCACUACAAAAUAUUAAUAAUAGAUUAUUUAUGCUUUAAGGGACUUUAUAUUUCAUCUAUUUUUCAAGUUGCAUUUUAUAAAUGUUACUAUCCUAUUUCCGUAUGUGGCAUUUCUUUAUUAUAUUGUUAGGCACUGAAAUGGCCCUGGAGAAAAGCACCACACAGUGAGGUACGUAUUAUAAUGUCUUUAGAAUUCUAAGGAGCACCAAAUUUGAUUGCUAUUUUUUCCCAACUAGAAUACCUUGAAUGAAUCAAUUGUUGAAGUGUUAAAGUCAGCAUUUAAGCAAGUCCCAUUGAUUCAGUUGGUCUACUCUAAUUAGAUCUAGCAAUUGGAUUUACAUCUACAUCAUUAAGCAUGCAAAACAAUGCAACAGCUGCACAACAUUGCAUCCUGUAAAAGAAAUAUUUGCUUCCUUUUCAAAAUAGGCAUGUUAUCCUUUAUGCACUUUAAAUAUUCAUCUCUAGUCACUAAGACUAUAAUUCCCUCUUAUUGAAGUAAAUAGAAUGCAGGCUAAGAACUUGUGUACAAACUAACCUAGGUUUAGGCUGUGAGUAGGAAUCUUGUGGACUUUUAGACACUGUUAGACUGUGGGCCCAUCCCAUUAACGUGGGAAUUCCCACAAUUAAAAGAGGGCCAUCCAGAUGACAUCCCAGAGAAACACAAAUAAAUUUACCACAAAUCAGGAAAACCCUGGUUUGUGGCAAAUUAAUUUGCUAGUAGGUUUAUUCUGCACUUUCUUGGAAGGCACAGGAUAAACUCACUACUUCUGCUGUCUGGACUUCUCCCUCAAAAGCUCUGGGCUUUUCAGGGGGCAGUCCAGACAAUAGUCCCAUGGUUUUCUGGGCUACAUUAGGCCGGAAAACUGCAAAAACACCAAUGCCCUCCCCCAAACCCACCAAAAACCCCUUUAAAAGUAAAAGAACUUACCAGGCCUCCACUCACGUGGUGCUGGAGUACUCCUGGUGCAUAGGAAUGAUGCGCCAGGAGAGAGAGGGGUGGGUGGGAAGGGGAAGGGAAAUUUUUCUCCUACCCCCUUUCUUCUGGAGGGCUCCGGCAUUACGUGACUGGAGGCUGGGUAAGUUCUUUUACAUUUAAAAUGGGUUUUGGGGAGGGGGGUUGGGUGUCCAGGUGUUUUCUCUGAAAGAUCUCGGAGCGCAUCUGGACACCUGCCUCAGAAAGCACACAAUUUGAGGCAUGUGUAGAUUAAACAUGAAUGUUCCCAGGUCUUAAAUGUGAAUGUUCCCGGAUUAAAUGUCUAUCUAGAAGUGCCCUGUAACUCUCAGCAUUCCUGUGGCUGUGUUGACUAUGCAACCACAAGUUAUAGUUCAACAACAUCUAAGAGUCCACAUGAAUCCUAGGCAGGGGGGAAUCUUUUUUAAAAUCCCACCACUGCCACCAAUAUAAAGGAAUGGCGGCAGGGGGGAAUCUUUUAAAAUAUCCCACCUCUGCCACCAAUAUAAAGGAAUGAGCGAGCGCGGAGAGGCUCCUUCAGGCAGGGGGGAAUCUUUUAUUAAUCUCACCUCUACCACCAAUAUAACGAAAGGAGCUGACACCAUUUAUAACGUACCCACUCUCCACUUUACUCACACUCACUCAAGCACACGUAUGUGAGAGGCGAGGGUAUACCAUUUCAUUUUAGAUUUUCUUUUUAAAUGGUAGCUGCCACCAGCCUAAAAUGUCUUUAGGAUUUUUGUUGUUAAGUGUGUCUGAGGCAAACUUCUCCCAUUUCCUGCCCACACUGUUUCUACCCCUGACUCCCAAACUGAUGUUCACUAUGAGGCUUUUCUGUGGUAUUUUUAUUGUUGUAUUGCUGGAACUUUUAUAAAGGUUUCUUGAUGGAAAAUAUACACUGUGGAGGCUCUUGAAAGUUGAAAAUAGAAUAAAAAUUUAUUUUCUUAAAAACAGGUAAAUGAUUACUUCAGAGAGGUUCAUAAGCGUAAUCGGUUACAGACGUUCUUCAGCUUAACUUAGUUGUAUGCUUCAGAUUACUUCACUUAGUUUCAAACAGUUCCAACCAACCAAUCUAUCUAUUGGUCACAAAAACCCUCGUUCUACUUGCUGAGAAUAGACACGAGUUCCCCAUGGUUGUUAAUUAACUUUAACCUAGAGUCCUUCUAUUAACCAGCCCAGUAGUGAGAGUCAAUCCCGUGAGUUAUCUUCCCCCAAGAGAUCCAAACUGCCUGACCUAGCCUGUCAGUUUCCACAGCUUUUAGUUCUCUCUCUCACACACACUCCAAACUCCAAAACCGAACUGCUCUCUUCAAACCUUCAAAACAGAACUCCCUUCUUCAAACCCUCAAAACAGAACUCCCUUCUUCAAACCCUCAAAACAGAACUACCUGGAGCUCUUUUUUUCCUCUGCACUCUAAGACUUAGCUCCUCCCAUCUGCUCUGGUUGGCCAAUCCUAGGAGUCUCUCUCUAAGCUCCUCCCCCUUUCUAACCACACUCAAGAUGGUGGCCUGGCAUUCCUCUACAAAAUGGAUGCCUGCCUCACUCAGUGUUACCAAGGCUUCAUUCCCGGCCUAAUAGAUAACUCAAGCACAAAAAAUACUCAGACCUCCUUUCUGACCUCUCAAUGUUUAUUGGCAUUUCCAAUCUUGCUAGAUAUGGAUCUGGAAACAAAACAUGCCCCUUGAGAGCUUUGCCAUCUCUUGAAUUUUUCAACAGCAUCCAUGUUAAUAAAUCAAACAACUGAAUCCUCAGUGACAAGAGAGGAUCAGUCUUAUUUGCAAAGCACAGAGUCUCAACAAGCUCAUUGAAGAAGCUGGUGCUUGUGUCAGUUGCCUACACUUUGAGUCAAUUCCAAAUAAAUGAAUCUGUUUAAAUUAA